rnacentral:rRNA from 1 species
GGUAGCCUACGGGGGGCAGCAGUGGGGAAUAUUGGGCAAUGGGCGCAAGCCUGACCCAGCAACGCCGCGUGAAGGAAGAAGGCUUUCGGGUUGUAAACUUCUUUUAAGAGGGAAGAGUAGAAGACGGUACCUCUUGAAUAAGCCACGGCUAACUACGUGCCAGCAGCCGCGGUAAUACGUAGGUGGCAAGCGUUGUCCGGAUUUACUGGGUGUAAAGGGCAUGAAGCCGGGCUGACAAGUCAGAUGUGAAAUCCCGCGGCUCAACCGCGGAACUGCAUUUGAAACUGUC